ensembl:lncRNA
GUACAGAGUCAAUGUGGAGGCUAUAUACAGGGUAUUACGGUACAGAGUCAAUGUGGAGGCUAUAUACAGGGUAUUACGGUACAGAGUCAAUGUGGAGGCUAUAUACAGGGUAUUACGGUACAGAGUCAAUGUGGAGGCUAUAUACAGGGUAUUACGGUACAGAGUCAAUGUGGAUGCUAUAUACAGGGUAUUACGGUACAGAGUCAAUGUGGAGGUUAUAUACAGGGUAUUAAGGUACAGAGUCAAUGUGGAGGCUAUAUACAGGGUGUUACGGUACAGAGUCAAUGUGGAGGCUAUAUACAGGGUAUUACGGUACUGAGUCAAUGUGGAGGCUAUAUACAGGGUAUUACGGUACAGAGUCAAUGUGGAGGCUAUAUACAGGGUAUUACGGUACAGAGUCAAUGUGGAGGCUAUAUACAGGGUAUUACGGUACAGAGUCAAUGUGGAGGCUAUAUACUGGGGGUACCGGUACAGAGUCAAGGUGGAGGCUAUAUACAGGGGGUACAGAGUCAAUGUGGAGGCUAUAUACAGGGUGUACCUGUACAGAGUCAAUGUGGAGGCUAUAUACUGGGGGUACCGGUACAGAGUCAAGGUGGAGGCUAUAUACAGGGGGUACAGAGUCAAUGUGGAGGCUAUAUACAGGGGGUACCUGUACAGAGUCAAUGUGGAGGCUAUAUACAGGGGGUACCUGUACAGAGUCAAUAUGGAGGCUAUAUACAGGGGGUACCAGUACAGAGUCAAUGUGGAGGCUAUAUACAGGGUGUUUCGGUACAGAGUCAAUGUGGAGGCUAUAUACAGGGGGUGCCGGUACAGAGUCAAUGUGGAGGCUAUAUACAGGGGGUACCGGUACAGAGUCAAGGUGGAGGCUAUAUACAGGGGGUACCGGUACAGAGUCAAGGUGGAGGCUAUAUACAGGGGGUACCGGUACAGAGUAAAUGUGGAGGCUAUAUACAGGGG